CCCUGGUUAGCUCAGUUGGUAGAGCGCUCCACCUGUAAUGGAGAGGUCCCGGGUUCAAUUCCGAGACCAGGCG
rnacentral:tRNA from 1 species